ensembl:snoRNA LOC120102673 small nucleolar RNA SNORA17
UCUGCCGGAGAGACAUUGCAGCUGUGGCUGCUGUGUCACAUGCGUGUCAGUAGGUGGCAGAGAGGAGAGGCUGAGUCUAUGCUCGGUGUUCCAACCAAAGAACAUCUAAAUGAUUAACAGCCUAAAGGU